rnacentral:rRNA from 1 species
CCUACGGGCGGCUGCAGUGGGGAAUAUUGCACAAUGGGCGCAAGCCUGAUGCAGCCAUGCCGCGUGUGUGAAGAAGGCCUUCGGGUUGUAAAGCACUUUCAGCGGGGAGGAAGGCGGUGAGGUUAAUAACCUCAUCGAUUGACGUUACCCGCAGAAGAAGCACCGGCUAACUCCGUGCCAGCAGCCGCGGUAAUACGGAGGGUGCAAGCGUUAAUCGGAAUUACUGGGCGUAAAGCGCACGCAGGCGGUCUGUCAAGUCGGAUGUGAAAUCCCCGGGCUCAACCUGGGAACUGCAUUCGGAACUGGCAGGCUAGAGUCUUGUAGAGGGGGGUAGAAUUCCAGGUGUAGCGGUGAAAUGCGUAGAGAUCUGGAGGAAUACCGGUGGCGAAGGCGGCCCCCUGGACAAAGACUGACGCUCAGGUGCGAAAGCGUGGGGAGCAAACAGGAUUAGAUACCCCAGUAGUC